GUGUGUGGAGCACGGCCCCAACAACGUGUCGCGAUGGAUGACUUGGCUUCCUAUU
rnacentral:rRNA from 1 species